GAAUUCAACGUUUCGUUUUUGCAUUACUUCACAUGUUUCAUGGUAUAUAAAGAAAUAUGAUAACGAACUUACAUUCAUACCAAUACAGUGGGGACAGAAUUGUUGCAUACGAGGUUGAAGAGUGCGAGCUGCGGGUCGUAAAUGCACAGGCAGUUUCGCUAUAGAACUUGAAGCGCCCCUAGCAGUGGUUACGUGUAGAACCGGUAAGCAGUGAUUAUUUGGAAGUUUUUUAAAACAAGGAACUGCCAAGUCGAUGUUUGACAGCUUUGUAAAGUUUUUGGGCAAGGGAUCGUUGACAGACCUGUAAGAAGGCAGAAGUUAACAAAGCUUCUUUUUGUGUCUGAUGAGCUCCUCCGUCGCACCGCUGGUGGUAAGAUGGCUGUGCAGUUGGAUGGAGGAGGGAAGGAGGACUUGAAAACACAGUUUGUCACGCGGGAAGGAACUUACAAACUGAUGACUUUGUCGGAGUAUUCAAGGCCAAAUAGGGUCGGUUAUACGAACAGUCAAGGAAGCGCAUCCGUUAGGGUGUCUUUCGUAACUUUGCCGGACCCAGCGGAUCCUACGGGUACGCAAGGUCUCGGUGACCGAAUGUGUUUCAAUUUUGGCAAGGAACUCUAUGUUUAUGUGUACCGAGGGGUUAAAAAGGCUGUGGACUUAAACAAACCAGUGGACAAAAAGUUAUAUAAAGGAACUAAUCCAACUUGCCAUAAUUUUAAUCAAACAACAGCUACUGCAGAUAGUGCACCAUUAUUAGUGGGCUUUUCUACAGGGCAAAUUCAACUAAUUGAUCCUAUAAAAAAGGAACUUAGCAAAUUAUAUAACGAAGAUAGGUUGAUAGAUAAAAGUAAAGUGACAUGUAUAAAGUGGGUUCCUGGAUCAAACAAUCUCUUUUUGGUAUCACACAGCUCUGGACAACUAUAUUUAUAUAAUGAAGAACUUCUUUGUGGUACAACAGCCCCUCACUAUCAAUCCUUUAAAUCAGGAGAUGGUUAUGCAAUAUACACUUGCAAAACAAAAUCUACCAGAAAUCCUUUGUAUAGAUGGGUAAUAGGAGCAGAAGGAUGUUGUAUAAAUGAAUUUGCCUUUAGCCCAUGUGGUUCAAACUUAGCAGUUGUUUCCCAAGAUGGUUUCUUGAGAGUAUUUCAAUACAAUACGAUGGAACUAGUGGGUUCGGCUAGAAGUUAUUUUGGUGGAUUUCUAUGCGUAUGUUGGUCACCAGAUGGAAGAUACGUUGUUGUAGGGGGUGAAGAUGAUCUUGUGACAAUUUGGAGCUUUCAUGAGAAGAGAGUUGUAGCAAGGGGUCAGGGUCACCAUAGUUGGGUAAGCGUUGUAGCCUUUGAUCCGUACACAACGUCUUACGGAGAUCAUGAUCCUGACUUCAGUGGUUCAGACGAUGAAACAUUACCACAUAACAAUCACAAUCACUUCCAUGAGAAGUCCAAUCGUCUGUCGACAACUUCGCAAGGAGUUCAUUCCAAUAGAAACUCUUGUAGUUCAGAGUUAAGGGUAUCUGGUGGUACAUGCUACAGGUUAGGUAGUGUAUCGCAAGAUACUCAAUUGUGUUUGUGGGAUAUCACAGAAGAUGUGUUGAGACAACCGAUGUGUGCAAAGCAGAGACCAUCUGCAGCAGGUUCUAGUACUCUUUCUACAUCAGGGACAGUCAACAGUGGAAAUGGCUCAACGACGAAUCAUCACUUGAACAAUUCUAAACAUAAUAACUUGAAUAAUAUUAAUUACAAAGAAAACGCGAGUGGUAAUAAUGAAAGUAGUAAUAAUAGCACGAGUACAAAUACAGCAGUAUCAACUGUAAAUUCAUUGACACAAAGGUUAGCAGGCCUUGGUUUUGGUGAGCGUAAAGGUGAUAAUCAUAAACGAAACUUUAGCCUCACUAUGAGAGGUAGUGGUGCAUCUAAUAGCACAAUAAUACAGAAUAGUGGAGGUGAAAAAGCUACCACUAAUUCGAAUGCAAGUAGUAACAUGAACAGUGUCAGUGGAAGUUUAGUAGGUGCAAAUAAAAAGGUUAGUUCCGUGAUGGACGAUCCUAUGAGGUUGAUAGGAACUGCCUGGUGCCCUAGGUUCGAUGAGUGUCCUGUGCUAGAACCAUUGGUGUGCAAGAAGUUGGCGCAUGAAAGAUUGACUGAAUUAGUGUUUAGGGAAGAUUGCUUCGUAACAGCGUGUCAAGAUGGAUACGUCUAUACAUGGGCAAGGCCUGGUCACAUGUGACAGUCUUAUAAUUUUAUCGGAAGAUGCUUGUGCUUGUUUCUUAAGCCGGUGGGGCAUUAAUUUUUUACUUUGAUUGAAAAGAUUAAUGUCUUAUACCAUGCUUUGGCUGAUGCAAGAGAAUCAUGGAUGAAACUUCCCAGAGUGUAUCGCAUGCCAGGAAUAGGACAGGUUGGAAACGCUCUACACGUUGUCAGUCCAGCUGAAAGUGGAGGUACCAUAGUAUAGCCAGAAGCAGAUAACGAAUCUUCAAAGCACGAAGAAGAAUACGUCCCGUUAAUGCGUACAUUUCAAUCUCCGGAAAUGCGGUUUCAAUCAUAUACUCAUUAUCGUCACUUGUAUUAUGUAUGGCCAAGUGAAAAUUAUUCCAAUAUCAUUUGAGAAAGGGUAAACAAAGAAUUGUCCCAAAGGCAUCUAACAGCUUAUUGCUUACCGACACCUUUUUUAUUUGGUAAGUUAAUUUUGGUGUGUAUUUUUUAUUUCUGUUCCGUUUUUAUGUAGGUGAGGAAAGCCUUUAAAUUUCAUAGUAUUAUAUAAAUUUUGUAAGGAAACCAGCGAAAGUAACAAUUGUGUGUACAUGUAUAUAUGUAUACAUAUGUUCGUCAGAUCUUACAUACUGUACUAAAUCAUUCCAAUAAGAUCUUGUUAAGUAAGAGAAUUAAGAAUCGAAUGAUGUUAAUACUGAAUACUUAUAUACAUACAUAUAUAUAUAUAUAUAUACAUACAUAUAUGUGUAUAUAUAUAUAUAGUCGAGAACUUUUGUAUCAUUAAUGUUUGUUUAGGAAAAUAAUUUUAAAUAGUUUGCUUUUUAUGACAUUUUAACGAGCAAUGCAACUAUUGUAAUCAGUCAGAGCAAUAUGUAAAUAUGAAAUGUUUUACUCCACAUCUUCGUUUAUAUACUCGUGAGAGAGGUCUAAUUGUUUUUUACAUUUGACAAUAUUAUAUAUGGAAGAAAAAAAACCGAAGUAGAUAAUUUUUGUAGAAUAUCAUUUCUGUUAUUUUGUUUAAAGAAUCUAAUUAUUACGAUAUAUUAUUUUUUUAUGUUGUUAUGUUAAGAAAUAUACCGAGACAUUUACGCAAAAUGUACAUACGUUAACAGCGUUCCUUUAUAUAUCGGUUUCUGUUAAUGCAAUUCAAGAAGAUAGUCUGAUCGUCGCUAACUAAAUUGCCUUAAUAAAAUGCGUAAGUUAAAGCAAGACAAACUUUUAUUUCGUAAUAUAAUUAUACGAAUAUGUUUCCGAGAAACUUGUUCGCUUUAUUGAGAAUUUAUAACGAGUACAUAAUCGAUGUACAAUUAGUUGAGAACUUUUGAUAACAAAAGAUGACUUUAUAUCUGAGAGCUACUAGAAAUUGUUACGUAUUUUAAUUAAAAUUUAAAUAAAAUUUUAUAUAAGAAGAGGAAAGAUAUGAAACACUAAUUAUUUUGUACAAUUGUUUCAUUUCAAUUCUAUUGUAUAUGGAACAACAAAUUGUAUUUAUAAAAAGUUCUGUGCAUUAUUAUCACAUAGCAAUCAAUGAUUUCCACAACGAAUGGAAUGUAUUUUUAUACACAGUUCUCAGAUACAAAAGUCUAAUGCAAUGGGUAUAUGAAUAGCUAUUGAAUAUUUUAACGAUAGACAGUAUUUGAUAUUCCACACGGCGAUACUAUUUAUUAUUUAUAGAAAUAAAUAAUUACAUAUGUAUAUAUAUACAUAUAUAUAUAUAUACACGCGUUAAAAUAUUAACGUCGAAAUGUAAAAAACAGUUUGUAUUGUUGUAAUAUUUGAGCAGUUUGAAAAUGAUGAGACACUUUUUUAUCUUUCAUUAAGGGCAUUCUUUUUUAUGUUUAAACGUUGCUAAUUCGAUAAUGACACGAAAACAGAUCAUAAGAUCGUAAUAAACUAAAUUUAUUUAUUGCAAUAAAAUAUAGCAAUUAGUUAAUUGUAAGCCAGUGUUUCUUGGACAAUAAUAUUUGUCAUAGCAUGAAUUGCAUAUUAUCAGAAAUAUAUUUUACUGUCAUUGAACGCAUAAUAGGCUUAAUUUGUAUUUUAAUCAUUAAGAAUCACUGGUCAGUUUUUUCAUAGAAGUAUUCGAAAACGCAGCAGCAAUUUUUUUUGCGUGCAUUUGUAUUUUACGUUUGUAAAUAUUUCAUAAGAUUAUAUAUAUAUAUGUGUGUGUUAUAUAUGUACUAUUAGAAUCGUCACAAAAUUAAUACACAAAACAAAGCAAUUCUUUUGUUAAAAGUACGUUUUUAUACGUCGUUUAAGAAGAAAUAAUAAUAGCUCUAUCUUUCUGUUCAUUUAAUAAAUUAAAAGGUGUUACUAAGGAAAAGUAACAGUAAAAGAACUGAUCACACUUUUUAAUUAUGGAGCUUUUUAUUCUGAACAUUAUUUUACAUACGGCAUAAUCUAGUUUUUGAUAAACAAGUAAAAACGUAACAUUACUUCUUUCCGUAUAAACUCCUUGAGGUAUACUGUGAUAUGUGUGUAUGCUAAUAUUAACUAAUUAACUAAUUGUAAGUGAUGAAAGUGAGAAUUAUAAUAACGCCAUCGUGUUUGUCGUGUGCUAAAACAAGUGGUUAACUUUCGAGCGGUAUUUGUUGAUUGGGCGUUUCCCGUAUCGAUAUCGAUACCGGUACUCGGCACUUGGAUUAUUAAACCGAUAAUAACUUAAAAGCUGGCCUGUUAGAUAUCAAAUCGUAUUUAAUUUAUUGAACUGGAGAUUUAUAAUGUUCCUACAUUGUAAGCGGAAUGGACGAGUCUAUAAUAAACGGUGCGUUUUGUUUCAUGACUGGAAACUGUUGGGAGGUUUUAAAUUAUGAAAUUAUAGUUGAUUUGUUAUUCCAGUGAGACAUGUUUUGUAAAUUCAAGAAAUGCACAUUAGAUCUUGUUUCUCUUCUACUUUAAUCUAAAAUAUGAAUCCGUCUAAACUUCAAACGUUAUUUAUUAUUUGAAUAUCUUCUCCGUUCUGUAAAGCGAACAAGAUUCCUUUAAAUUGAAAAUUAAAGCAAUAAUUCCAUUUAUUAUAUUUAUUUGUGGUUAUACGUAUAAUUGCGAUUUAUGUAACGCUAUAAAUAAAUACAACGAUGUAAGGAGAUAUUUUGUUGCGAAUCGGUAGAUCAAUCUGGCUGAUUACAUCACUGGAAAUAAACGUAAAGAUAAUCCAUCA